rnacentral:rRNA from 1 species
CCAAAAACAUAGCCCUUGGACUAAUCAAAGGUGCAACCUGCCCACUGGUAUAAAAUUUAAUAGAAAUAAAAUUCUAUAAUUAAACUUAAAGGACGCAGUAACCUGACUGUGGUAAUGUAGCAUAAUCAUUCGCCAUUUAAUUGAUGGAUAGUAUGAAUGGUUAAACGAAUUCUUCACUGUCUUAAAAAAAGAAACCAUGAAAUUGAAAUAAUAGUAAAGAUGCUAUUUAAUAUUGUAAGACGAAAAGACCCUAUAGAGCUUAACUAUUAACUUUCUAUUAAAACAUAACUAAAUAGUUAUUAAAUAAGAAAGUUAGGUAGUUUAGUUGGGGCGACUAUCUUCUAAAACUAACGAAGACAAGCAAUAUUAAUAAUUAAUUUAUUGUAUAAUUAAUAAAUUUAACAAUUACAAAAGUAGGCUAUAAUGACCCGUUGUAAUCAAAUAAUAGAUAUAACGAUUAAUAAAUAAAAGCUACCUUAGGGAUAACAGGAUAAUUUUGUUCUAGAGAUCCUAUCGAAGACAAAGUUUGUCACCUCUAUGUUGAAUUAAGAUAUCCUGAUAGUGCAGAAGCUAUCAAUGGUAGGUCUGUUCGACCUUUAAAAUCUUACAUGAUUU